AAACAAUUGAAAAGCACAUUCCUUCCCUCACAAGACUCGAUAAUGAACUCUCCGCCUACCUUCUGUUCUUCAAUAUUUUUAAUCAGGUGUUUCCCAGGUAGUCACGUUUGUACAGACGUAUUAGAGGGGCUGUGUUGUGCACACAGUACUAGAUGCUUUUCUUACGUAUGUUGUCUCCCGUAAACAGGUAAAUAAGCUGAGUGUCAGUGUUUUAACCCUGCAUUGCAUCUCUGGAUCGGGCCAGCUAUGAAGUGGGAGCUCUGAGGAAUCCCAGCAUGCUGCCAGCCUGAACCUUUCACCUCCAAUCAUCUGUCUCCACAUCUCUCUCAUCCCCCUUUUGCUGGCCAUCCCUCUCUCCUCUGCCCUUUUCCUCCUCCAAUCUUUCUGGCUUUUCUCUAUCCUGUGCUCGUAGAUGAGAUUUGUAACCUUCAUUAUUGACAGCAGCAAGAUAACCUCACCCCUCGGUUUUAUCUCCUCUCCAUCUCAUCCAAUAUAGAUAUCACAUGCUGCCCCACACAAAAUCAGCCCUGUGUAAACUCAGCAUAGCACCUCAUUUAAAGAGGCAUCGAUUUCCCCCCGAGUGCUCUAUGAAUACAUUCCUUAUGCAUGAGCGCUCGGCGGUUUGGUUAUAUCGGACGUGCCUUCUAUUCUUUACGCACUGUGAAUCUGGAUAACGUGGUUCAAGUCAAACUCCAGAUUAAUUUGCACCUGACGACGGUGUUCAUUUUCUCAGGGCGUGCUCGAUGAAUUCAUGCUCGCACCGAGGGGAAUGCAAAGCGAGGUGUAAGGUGUGUGUGAAGCAUCCUGGUGUACCAUGCAAUUUCUCCCACUCUUCUACAUAAAAUAUGGUGAAAAAUUCUCAGUGGUGAAGGUAGUGAUUUUUCUACAGCAUGAAAACAACACAUUGAUAACGACAAACUGCCUCAGAGUUGCAAUGCUUCUCUUCCAAGCAGAAAUGAUCAUCGAUAUCAAUACGUCAGAAAAAAUCCAAAGCAUCCAGAUCAAGGCAAACGGCUGCAACGGAGAAGAGUCUUACCUGAGGCGGAUGAUCCGGGAACACAGGUGGGGCGUUCAGGCCUAUUGGGUCCACUUGUAUUGUGCUGAACUUGUGCUCUGCUGUUUUAUCUCUCUCAUGCCCUUGUGUGGAAGAAAACAAAAAUCACUGCUUUAUUGUCAUAGUUAAUAACUCAUCAUGCGAGAGACACCAAGGGAACCCCGACUGACACAAAUCUACCUCCCCCCCCCUACUCUCCUCACUCUAAAGGAAUCUUCUAAUCUCAGCAGUUAAUAAUGGGUUGUUUUCCUCUCCUUUUAUGCUCCUGUGUCCUUUCUCUCUCUCUUUCUCGUGCGCCCUCCCCUCUUCUCUUAGCCGGUUGUCCAGGCGACAGAGUCAGUGAGAGGCAUUUCUUCCCAGAAGCUCCCUCUCUCUCCCUCUCUCUCUCUCAUGGCUUUGUUCAGCUUGCACUGCUGACUGGCUCCACGGUGGAGGACUGGAGAGGAGUGGAUCGCAGACGGGAACCCUCCCGUGAGUCACUGGGGAGCGGCAGAAAAGCCUCGAGUCAUUUCGGGAAUUGAUUAAAACAUGCCUCGGGCCGGUUCCAAACUAAUUCUGCCAGAUUUGUAAGACCAAAACAAUCGCGGCCGCCACGUUAGUGCAGCGGAGAACCCUCCAAUUCUGUCAGAGUUGGUAUGGUCUAGUCUUGUUGGGAGGGGGGGGUAUAAGAGGGUGAACACAACAACUUGGGACACAGUGCAGUUAUAAGUUAUAAAAUCAUUGCUUAAACAAAGAGUUCAAAAUCU